rnacentral:rRNA from 1 species
ACGUCAAAUCAUCAUGCCCCUUAUGCCCUGGGCUACACACGUGCUACAAUGGCCGGCACAGCAAGAGGCAAUGCCGCGAGGCGGAGCAAAUCUCUAAAACCGGCCCCAGUUCGGAUUGCAGGCUGCAACUCGCCUGCAUGAAGCCGGAGUUGCUAGUAAUCGCAGAUCAGAAUGCUGCGGUGAAUGCGUUCCCGGGUCUU